rnacentral:rRNA from 1 species
AGAGGGUGCAAGCGUUAAUCGGAAUUACUGGGCGUAAAGGGCGUGUAGGCGGAUGUGCAAGUCAGAUGUGAAAUACCUGGGGCUUGACCGAGGAAGGCCAUUUGAAACUGCAUAUCUAGAGUACAAUAGAGGGGAGUGGAAUUUCCGGUGUAGCGGUGAAAUGCGUAGAUAUCGGAAGGAACACCAGUGGCGAAGGCGGCUCUCUGGAUUGAUACUGACGCUGAGGCGCGGAAGCGUGGGGAGCAAACAGGAUUAGAUACCCUGGUAGUCCACGCCGUAAACGAUGAGAACUAGCUGUAGGGCCCUUCGGGGUUUUGUAGCGUAGCUAACGCGCUAAGUUCUCCGCCUGGGGAGUACGGCCGCAAGGCUA